AUUGAACGCUGGCGGCAGGCCUAACACAUGCAAGUCGAACGAGUGGCGGACGGGUGAGUAAUGUCUGGGAAACUGCCCGAUGGAGGGGGAUAACUACUGGAAACGGUAUCUAAUACCCCAUACCCUCGGAUUUCCCCAGAUGGGAUUAGCUCGUAGGUGGGGUAAAGGCUCACCUAGGCGACGAUCCCUAGCUGUUCUGAGAGGAUGACCAGCCACACUGGAACUGAGACACGGUCCAGAGUACUACGGGAGGCAGCAGGGGGGAAUAUUGCACAAUGGGCGCAAGCCGGAUGCAGCCAUGCAGCGUGUAUGAAGAAGGCCUGCGGGUUGUAAAGUACUUUCAGCGGGGAGGCGUUACCCGCAGAAGAAGCACCGGCUAACUCCGUGCCAGCAGCCGCGGUAAUUC
rnacentral:rRNA from 1 species